rnacentral:rRNA from 1 species
GAUGAACGCUGGCGGCGUGCCUAAUACAUGCAAGUCGAGCGAACAGACGAGGAGCUUGCUCCUCUGACGUUAGCGGCGGACGGGUGAGUAACACGUGGAUAACUUACCUAUAAGACUGGGAUAACUUUGGGAAACCGGAGCUAAUACCGGAUAAUAUAUUGAACCGCAUGGUUCAAUAGUGAAAGACGGUUUUGCUGUCACUUAUAGAUGGAUCCGCGCCGCAUUAGCUAGUUGGUAAGGUAACGGCUUACCAAGGCGACGAUGCGUAGCCGACCUGAGAGGGUGAUCGGCCACACUGGAACUGAGACACGGUCCAGACUCCUACGGGAGGCAGCAGUAGGGAAUCUUCCGCAAUGGGCGAAAGCCUGACGGAGCAACGCCGCGUGAGUGAUGAAGGUCUUCGGAUCGUAAAACUCUGUUAUUAGGGAAGAACAAAUGUGUAAGUAACUAUGCACGUCUUGACGGUACCUAAUCAGAAAGCCACGGCUAACUACGUG